rnacentral:rRNA from 1 species
AUACGUAGGGGGCGAGCGUUGUCCGGAAUGAUUGGGCGUAAAGGGCGCGUAGGCGGCGCGGUAAGUCUGGAGUGAAAGUCCUGCUUUCAAGGUGGGAAUUGCUUUGGAUACUGCCGCGCUUGAGUGCAGGAGAGGUUAUCGGAAUUCCCGGUGUAGCGGUGAAAUGCGUAGAGAUCGGGAGGAACACCAGUGGCGAAGGCGGGUAACUGGACUGCAACUGACGCUGAGGCGCGAAAGUGUGGAGAGCAAACAGGAUUAGAUACCCUGGUAGUCCACACGGUAAACGAUGAAUGCUAGGUGUAAGAGGUAUCGACCCCUUUUGUGCCGGAGUCAACACAAUAAGCAUUCCGCCUGGGGAGUACGGCCGCAAGGUUGAAACUCAAAUGAAUUGACGGGG